rnacentral:rRNA from 1 species
ACUCCUACGGGAGGCAGCAGUAGGGAAUCUUCCACAAUGGGCGCAAGCCUGAUGGAGCAACACCGCGUGAGUGAAGAAGGGUUUCGGCUCGUAAAGCUCUGUUGUUAAAGAAGAACACGUAUGAGAGUAACUGUUCAUACGUUGACGGUAUUUAACCAGAAAGUCACGGCUAACUACGUGCCAGCAGCCGCGGUAAUACGUAGGUGGCAAGCGUUAUCCGGAUUUAUUGGGCGUAAAGAGAGUGCAGGCGGUUUUCUAAGUCUGAUGUGAAAGCCUUCGGCUUAACCGGAGAAGUGCAUCGGAAACUGGAUAACUUGAGUGCAGAAGAGGGUAGUGGAACUCCAUGUGUAGCGGUGGAAUGCGUAGAUAUAUGGAAGAACACCAGUGGCGAAGGCGGCUACCUGGUCUGCAACUGACGCUGAGACUCGAAAGCAUGGGUAGCGAACAGGAUUAGAUACCCUGGUAGGAUAGCC